GGGAGAAACUCCAAUACAUGGACAUUGUCUUGUAAUUGGAAUGAUGGUGACGUAAAAUCUCACCAGAGUAACAAUUGGAGGGCAAGUCUGGUGCCAGCAGCCGCGGUAAUUCCAGCUCCAAUAGCGUAUAUUAAACUUGUUGCAGUUAAAAAGCUCGUAGUUGAAUUUCUGCGUUGCCCGACUCGGCUACUUGCCUUGUCUGGUUUCGCUUUUGGGGUUUUCCCCUUUUUACUUUGAGAAAAUUAGAGUGUUUCAAGCAGACUUGUGUCUUGAAUACUUCAGCAUGGAAUAAUAAAGUAGGACUUUGGUUCUAUUUUGUUGGUUUGUGAACCUUAGUAAUGGUUAAUAGGAACGGUUGGGGGCAUUCGUAUUUAAA
rnacentral:rRNA from 1 species